rnacentral:rRNA from 1 species
AUUGAACGCUGGCGGCAGGCCUAACACAUGCAAGUCGAGCGGAGCGGCGGACGGGUGAGUAAUGCCUAGGAAUCUGCCUGGUAGUUGGGGAUAACGUCCGGAAACGGGCGCUAAUACCGCAUACUCUCAGAUGAGCCUAUGUCGGAUUGGCUAGUUGGUGGGUUAAAGGCCUACAAAGGCGACGAUCCGUAACUGGUCUGAGAGGAUGAUCAGUCACAAUGGAACUGAGACACGGUCCAGACUCCUAGGGUAGGCAGCAGUGGGGAAUAUUGGACAAUGGUCGAAAGCCUGAUCCAGCCAUGCCGCGUGUGUGAAGAAGGUCGUCGGAUUGUAAAGCACUUUAAGUUGGGAGGCGUUACCAACAGAAUAAGCACCGGCUAACUUCGUGCCAGCAGCCACGGUAAUUC